GCUUAGAGUUUGAUCCUGGCUCAGGAUGAACGCUGGCGGCGUGUUUAAGGCAUGCAAGUCGUACGAAGCCGGGUGUCGAACUUCAGAUGUCAGAUUUCAGACUUUAGAUUUCAGAUAAAUUUAUCUGACUUCUAGGUUCUAAUUUCUGACUUCCGGAAUCCGAUAUCUGGUUCAGUGGCAAACGGGUGAGUAACACACUGGUAACCUACCUCCAAGACGGGGAUAGCUCGCCGAAAGGCGAAUUAAUACCCGAUGGCAAUGCGGGGACGCAAGUCAUUCGCAUUUAAAGCCGCAAGGCGCUUGGAGAGGGGCCUAUGUCUGAUUAGCUAGUUGGUAGGGUAAUGGCCUACCGAGGCUAUGAUCAGUAGCAGGCGUGAGAGCGUGACCUGCCUCACUGGGACUGAGACACUGCCCAGACACCUACGGGUGGCUGCAGUCAAGAAUCUUCCGCAAUGGGCGAAAGCCUGACGGAGCGACGCCGCGUGCAGGAUGAAGGCCUUCGGGUCGUAAACUGCUUUUAUAGGGGACGAAUUUGUGACGGUACCCUAAGAAUAAGAGGUUGCUAACUCUGUGCCAGCAGCAGCGGUAAUACAGAGACCUCAAGUGUUAUCCGGAUUUAUUGGGCGUAAAGCGUCCGCAGAUGGUUUGACGGGUCAGGGGUAAAAACCCAGUGCUUAACAUUGGGGUUGCCUUUGAAACUAUCAAACUAGAGGAUGGAAGAGGUAAGCGGAAUUGCAGGUGUAGUCGUAAUAAGCGUUGAUAUCUGCAAGAACACCAAAGGCGAAGGCAGCUUACUGAGUACAUUCCUGACAUUCAGGGACGAAAAGCGGUGGGGAGCGAACAGGAUUAGAUACCCCUUGGUAGUCCACGCCCUAAACGAUGCAUACUAGAUAUUGGCAGUAUCGACCCUGUCAGUGUCGCUUAAAAAAGUUAAACGCAUUAAGUAUGCCGCCUGGGGAGUACGAGCGCAAGCUUAAAACUCAAAGGAAUAGACGGGGACCCGCACAAGCGGUGGAGCAUGUGGUUUAAUUCGACGAUAAACGAGGAACCUUACCUGGGCUCAACUACUAGCUGCAGAUUUCCAGAAAUGGAUUUCGCCUUCGAGGGUGCUAGAUAGGUGCUGCAUGGUUGCCGUCAGCUCGUGCCGUGAGGUGUACCGUUAAGUCGGGAAACGAGCGCAACCCACGUCGUGUGUUAAAUUUACACGCGAGACUGCUCGCGCAAGCGAGAGGAAGGGGUGGACGACGUCAAAUCAGCAUGGCUCUUACGUCCAGGGCCACACACAUGCUACAAUGGCCGGUACAAUGGGUUGCUAAACCGCGAGGUGGAGCUAAUCCCAUCAAAGCCGGUCUCAGUUCAGAUUGAAGGCUGCAACUCGCCUUCAUGAAGUCGGAAUCGCUAGUAAACGCCUAUCAGCCACGGGGCGUUGAAUACGUUCUCGGGUCUUGUACUCACCGCCCGUCACACCACGGGAGCUGGCAAUGCCCAAAAUUCCCUUCGGGAAUUGAGGCAGGGUCAGUGACUAGGGUGAAGUCGUAACAAGGUAACCAAGCC
rnacentral:rRNA from 1 species